CUCUAUAGGCCUAACCGGAGAGGAAGAAGAACAGGAAGAAGAGGAGGAGGAGGAGGAGGAGGAGGAGGCAGUGACCUUUUUCCGAACAUAGGCAUUACUUAUAAGUGACAUUAAAUUCACUUUCGCGAUUGGUGACACGUGUUUAGAGGGUCGUUUUGUAUUAUUAAGCCAGGUAACAUCCAUUAGCGACAGGUAGACAUAGGCAAGUACAUAGAUAGCGCUGUUAGUAGUUAUGAAGGCAGACAGUGUUGGA